rnacentral:rRNA from 1 species
AACGAACGCUGGCGGCAGGCCUAACACAUGCAAGUCGAACGAACCCUUCGGGGUGAGUGGCGCACGGGUGCGUAACACGUGGGAAUAUACACAUAGGUAAGGAAUAACUCAGGGAAACUUGCGCUAAUACCUUAUAAUAACUCCGGUUCAAAGAUUUAUCGCCUAUGGAUUAGCCCGCGCUAGAUUAGUUUGUUGGUGAGGUAAGAGCUCACCAAGACUGCGAUCUAUAGCUGGUCUUAGAGGAUGAUCAGCCACACUGGAACUGAGACACGGUCCAGACUCCUACGGGAGGCAGCAGUGAGGAAUAUUGCGCAAUGGAGGAAACUCUGACGCAGCCAUGCCGCGUGAAUGAAGAAGGCCUUAGGGUUGUAAAAUUCUUUCAGAUGCGAAGAUAAUGACGGUACCAUCAGAAGAAGCUCCGGCUAAAUUCGUG